rnacentral:tRNA from 1 species
GCACCCGUAGCUCAGUAGGAUAGAGCACUGUUUUCCGAAAGCAGAGGAUUCAGGUUCAAUUCCUGUCGGGUGCA